GGUCCGCUGGCGUAAUGGCAGCGCGUCUGACUACGAUUCUACAGAAUCAAGUAAUCAGGAGGUUCCAGGCUCGACCCCUGGGCGGAUCG
rnacentral:tRNA from 1 species